rnacentral:rRNA from 1 species
CAGUAGCCACGGGAAUACGAGGGGGGCAAGCGUUGUUCGGAAUUACUGGGCGUAAAGCGCGCGUAGGCGGUUACUCAAGUCAGAGGUGAAAGCCCGGGGCUCAACCCCGGAACUGCCCUUGAAACUAGGUAACUAGAAUCUUGGAGAGGUCAGUGGAAUUCCGAGUGUAGAGGUGAAAUUCGUAGAUAUUCGGGAGAACACCAGUGGCGAAGGCGACUGACUGGACAAGUAUUGACGCUGAGGUGCGAAAGCGUGGGGAGCAAACAGGAUUAGAUACCCGCGUAGUCCCUGUCUCUUAUAC